GACGAACCGAGCGAACGUUGUUCGGAAUCACUGGGCUUAAAGGGCGCGUAGGCGGGCCGGCAAGUCAGGGGUGAAAGCCCCCAGCUCAACUGGGGAAGUGCCUCUGAUACUGCCGGCCUCGAGGGAGGUAGGGGCGUGCGGAACUUCCGGUGGAGCGGUGAAAUGCGUAGAUAUCGGAAGGAACACCGGUGGCGAAAGCGGCGCGCUGGACCGCUUCUGACGCUGAGGCGCGAAAGCCAGGGGAGCAAACGGG
rnacentral:rRNA from 1 species